rnacentral:rRNA from 1 species
GAUGAACGCUGGCGGCGUGCCUAACACAUGCAAGUCGAGCGAAUGGAUUAAGAGCUUGCUCUUAUGAAGUUAGCGGCGGACGGGUGAGUAACACGUGGGUAACCUGCCCAUAAGACUGGGAUAACUCCGGGAAACCGGGGCUAAUACCGGAUAACAUUUUGAACCGCAUGGUUCGAAAUUGAAAGGCGGCUUCGGCUGUCACUUAUGGAUGGACCCGCGUCGCAUUAGCUAGUUGGUGAGGUAACGGCUCACCAAGGCAACGAUGCGUAGCCGACCUGAGAGGGUGGUCGGCCACACUGGGACUGAGACACGGCCCAGACUCCUACGGGAGGCAGCAGUAGGGAAUCUUCCGCAAUGGGCGAAAGUCUGACGGGGCAACGCCGCGUGAGUGAUGAAGGCUUUCGGGUCGCAAAACUCUGUUGUUAGGGAAGAACAAGUGCUAGCUGAAUAAGCUGGCACCUUGACGGUACCUAACCAGAAAGCCACGGCUAACUACGUGCCAGCAGCCGCGGUAA